GAUGAACGCUGGCGGCGUGCCUAAUACAUGCAAGUCGAGCGAACAGACGAGGAGCUUGCUCCUCUGACGUUAGCGGCGGACGGGUGAGUAACACGUGGAUAACCUACCUAUAAGACUGGGAUAACUUCGGGAAACCGGAGCUAAUACCGGAUAAUAUAUUGAACCGCAUGGUUCAAUAGUGAAAGACGCUUUUGCUGUCACUUAUAGAUGGCUCCGCGCCGCAUUAGCUAGUUGGUAAGGUAACGGCUUACCAAGGCAACGAUGCGUAGCCGACCUGAGCGGGUGAUCGGCCACACUGGAACUGAGACACGGUCCAGACUCCUGCGGGAGGCAGCGGUAGGGAAUCUUCCGCAAGGGGCGAGAGCCUGACGGAGCAACGCCGCGUGAGUGAUGAAGGUCUUCGGAUCGUAAAACUCUGUUAUUAGGGAAGAACAAAUGUGUAAGUAACUAUGCACGUCUUGACGGUACCUAAACAGAAAGCCACGGCUAACUACGUG
rnacentral:rRNA from 1 species